GAUCAUGGCUCAGGAUGAACGCUAGCGAUAGGCUUAACACAUGCAAGUCGAGGGGCAGCAUGGUCUUAGCUUGCUAAGACUGAUGGCGACCGGCGCACGGGUGCGUAACGCGUAUGCAACUUGCCUCACAGGGGGGGAUAACCCGUCGAAAGACGGACUAAUACCGCGUACACUUACAGGAGGGCAUCCUCCAGUAAGGAAAUGAAAUUCGCUGUGAGAUAGGCAUGCG
rnacentral:rRNA from 1 species